CAAUUACUUAUUUUUUCAAAAUAGAGAUAGUUCCCUCCCCCCAAGGGAGAAAAUACGGAAUAAUCAAAAACUCGAGCAGUAGGAACUAAAGUAUAAUGCAUAAGCCUGUGACUACAUCAAUGGAAAGCAAACUGACAUGCAACUAACACUUAAAAAAAUUAAUCACAGAUUGCAAUGUUUUUCAGUAUGUGUCCGUCAAUUUCACACAGGUCUUGUCUUGUAUCUCUACACAUAAGUAUACACACUGAAACACAUGCAAAAAAUAAAAAAUAAUAACAAAAAAAAAAGGCAAAAACUAUUUGCAGUAACAGACAAGGUCAACAAGUUGUUAAUGUAAACCAGCACCCAGAGCACAAUCUGCUGCCCCUCUUCCAACUUUCUGAAUGGAAGGGCUACGCAAACCGAUCAGCCCACCAAGCGGAUCGCUUCGGGCUGCGAUCUGCCCGCUUCCACAGAGCCGAGCAGCUCGAGGGUCGCUGGGCAGCCCCCCAUGACCGCACAGCCCCCACGGCCAAGCCCACCGCUGCGGGCCCGCUGCGAGCGUCCAGCCCUGCGCCCCUGCCUCCAGUGAGGCCGCUCGCACCGCUCCCCUUCCCAGCCUUCGCCAAAGCCCUUUGGAGGAGCGAAGAGGCUCGGGCACAUCCACAAAGUCAUCGCAUGAGAGGGAUUAGUCUAUAAACGAAAGUAAUAGCUCGAGCCAGGAAAAGCUCCCCCGCAACGCGUUACUUCGGCGGGGGGACUCCUUGGGUUAGACCGCUGCAGCCAACUCGUGUGCUGCGAGAAACGGCGCUCGUGUUUCGCACCCUUUUUACCUUAACACUGGAUCUGCUGGUCUGGGUCUCUGCCUCCAUGCUCUGGCUGUUCUCCCUCUUGUCUUUCUUAGAGGAAUUAGUCCUCACCUUAUAAGUGGAUGUGUUGGAGGAUUUAAUGAAUAAUCCUGGGACGGGGUUGCCUUGCUGCUGCUGAGACAUGGUUGUGUUGGUCUGGUGAGGGGAAUUGCACUCCUCAGACUCUUUGCUACUGUGAUAGACCACUCUGCUGUCAGAGAUGUGGAUGCUUGGAGCACAGCCCAUGCUUUGUGGCCACCUGGGGAAUACUUCUAAAUUGUAUAUAUAUAUACGUGCAUAUAUAUAUCUCUUUCCUUCCCGUUGGUAUUUCCCCCUGCUUUUUUUUUUUUUUUUUUUUUUUUUUUGUUAACAGGUUGAAUCUUUGUCCUGCGUCUCCGCUACACUCUGAAGCAUUGCCAUCGGUCCCUCGCACACGACAGGCUCGUGUCUGUCCUCCUCGGCCUCCACGAAGCGGGUCCUUUGGUCGCCCCCUCAGCCAGCGGUUAGUGCUGAUUUUCCUAAGCCAUCUGAGAAGCUUGGGAGGGCUUGCUUUCCUUCGGGGGAAGAAGGAGGAAAAAAAAAAAAAGAAAAAUAGCUCCGAAAAGCCGCGAAGCAGCCGCACAGCCCCGGUGCUCAGCGCGGCCGGG
rnacentral:lncRNA from 1 species